AUGUGCCCACAAAUAGUCUCUAGUGCAUUCACCCCUGAUAUCACUAAAGGCCGGUUUCCCACCCACAGAUACUGUUUCUUUGUCCUCCUGGUCCCAUAUCGGUUUCAUGCCCAAGUAUCCUGCCACAGCCAUACAUUGGGGGUGUGUGGUCCUCUUCUAAAGUUUCGAUUGCUUGGCACUCUUCUCAGUAAACUCAGUAGUUGCACUGGCCCUUUAGGAUUCUGCCCAGCCUACCUUUGUAAUUUGAGGGUAUGCGGGGAUUGGGUACUUGCCUUCACUCAAGUACUUCUUGUACAACACAUGCUUCCAGUUUCUCCAAGCAUCCCUGACAUUCUUCGGUGCAACGUGUUCCACCUGCAUUCUCCACUGCUCUGGAACAUUGAAGUGAUCCAUGAUCUCCUGGACUAUCCUUUGUCGUGUUUCUGUGUCAGCCUUCUAAAACCACGGCAGACUACUGUUGAGCCUUGCCCUCCCAACAAAUCCACACACACUCCUGAACCUCGUGCGUGCUUUAUCUGGUUUAGUUGGAGCCCAAGACUUUAA
rnacentral:rRNA from 1 species